AGCCUAACACAUGCAAGUCGAGCGGAUGACGGGAGCUUGCUCCUUGAUUCAGCGGCGGACGGGUGAGUAAUGCCUAGGAAUCUGCCUGGUAGUGGGGGACAACGUUUCGAAAGGAACGCUAAUACCGCAUACGUCCUACGGGAGAAAGCAGGGGACCUUCGGGCCUUGCGCUAUCAGAUGAGCCUAGGUCGGAUUAGCUAGUUGGUGGGGUAAUGGCUCACCAAGGCGACGAUCCGUAACUGGUCUGAGAGGAUGAUCAGUCACACUGGAACUGAGACACGGUCCAGACUCCUACGGGAGGCAGCAGUGGGGAAUAUUGGACAAUGGGCGAAAGCCUGAUCCAGCCAUGCCGCCGUGUGUGAAGAAGGUCUUCGGAUUGUAAAGCACUUUAAGUUGGGAGGAAAGGGCAGUAAGUUAAUACCUUGCUGUUUUUUGACGUUACCGACAGAAAUAAGCACCGGCUAA
rnacentral:rRNA from 1 species